rnacentral:rRNA from 1 species
UGAGGAAUAUUGGUCAAUGGGCGUGAGCCUGAACCAGCCAAGUAGCGUGCAGGAUGACGGCCCUAUGGGUUGUAAACUGCUUUUAUGCGGGGAUAAAGUCGGCCACGUGUGGCCGUUUGCAGGUACCGCAUGAAUAAGGACCGGCUAAUUCCGUGCCAGCAGCCGCGGUAAUACGGAAGGUCCGGGCGUUAUCCGGAUUUAUUGGGUUUAAAGGGAGCGUAGGCUGGAGAUUAAGCGUGUUGUGAAAUGCCGCGGCUCAACCGUGGCCCUGCAGCGCGAACUGGUUUUCUUGAGUGCGCUGAAAGCGGGCGGAAUUUGU